rnacentral:rRNA from 1 species
AUUGAACGCUGUCGGCAGGCUUAACACAUGCAAGUCGAACGAGUGGCGGACGGGUGAGUAAUGCGUGUGAAUCUAGCUUAUGGCGGGGGAUAACUACGGGUAACUGUAGCUAAUACCCCGUACCCUAGGGUGAACCCAAGUGGGAUUAGGUAUUUGUUGAGGUAAAGGCUCACCAAGCCGACGAGCUCUAGCUGUUUUGAGCGGAGGACCAGCCACACUGGGACUGAGCUACGGCCCAGACUCCUACGGGAGGCAGCAGUGGGGAAUAGGGCGCAAUGGGGGCAACCUGACGCAGCCAUGCCGCGUGAAUGAAGAAGGCCUUCGGGUUGUAAAGUUCUUUCGGUAGCGAGGCGUUAACUACAGAAGAAGCACCGGCUAACUCCGUGCCAGCCGACGCGGUAAUUC